AUUGAACGCUGGCGGCAGGCCUAACACAUGCAAGUCGAGCGGAGCGGCGGACGGGUGAGUAAUGCCCAGGAAUCUGCCUGGUAGUGGGGGCUAACGUCCGGAACCGGGCGCUAAUACCGCAUCCUAUCAGAUGAGCCUAGGUCGGAUUAGCUAGUUGGUGGGGUAAAGACCUACCAAGGCGACGAUCCAUAACUGGUCUGAGAGGAUGAUCAGUCACACUGGAACGGAGACACGGUCCGGAAUCCUACGGGAGGCAGCAGUGGGGAAUAUUGGACAAUGGGCGAAAGCCUAAUCCAGCCAUGCCGCGUAUGUGAAGAAGGUAUUCGGAGUGUAAAGCACUUUAAGUGGGGAGGCGGUACCAACAAAAUAAACACCGGCUAACUUCGUGCCAGCCGCCGCGGUAAUUC
rnacentral:rRNA from 1 species